rnacentral:rRNA from 1 species
GACGGAAGGUGCAAGCGUUGCUCGGAAUCACUGGGCGUAAAGGGUGCGUAGGCGGCCGUGCAAGUCUGGCGUGAAAGCCCCGGGCUCAGCCCGGGAAGUGCGCUCGAAACUGCACGGCUCGAGUGCCGGAGGGGAGAGUGGAAUUCCUGGUGUAGCGGUGAAAUGCGCAGAUAUCAGGAGGAACACCGGUGGCGAAGGCGGGUCUCUGGACCGAGACUGACGCUGAGGCGCGAAAGCGUGGGGAGCAAACAGG